CCAAAUAACCCCAACCCUGGCCUAAGUUUCCUCUCCUUUCAGUUUUUACCCGAUAAUACAACACCAGUGAACAACGUACAACUUUAACAUCAACAGCCGACAACAGCCAAAACCACCAGCCACGAGCGAUGACAAUAACAAACAACGACUUCAAUCCAACCGACCUAGAAACCCGGGGACCCAACACCAAAACCCGUCAACCCGGCGUACAACUUGCGAAUUCAGAUUGUCCAACAAUGUCUCAUCCGCCAACGUUCAAAAUUUCAAUUUGUACGAAAUUGUACGAUUCCAGCUCAUACCCUUGUCUUUCAAGAAGAUUCCUCAUUAAAAUCCCAAAAUUGCCCCCCGAUUUUUCAAUCCCACAUCGUUAAUCAUUCAAGAUUUGAGAUUGUUGGAUUUCUAUAUAAACCUAUUUAAUCCACUGUUCAAAGCGAGUUUUUUUUCGAAACCAAAUAAGGCUGAAAAUUCUUUCUCUCGGCUAGGGCUUCGGACCUCAGUUCCCAGCCUGGAGUUGUGAGAAUUUUGGCUCAGUCUUUUUUAAUCUUCUUGUUGUUUUGGAAUCGAAGAACGUGGUGAAGUCGUCGUAGAUUCGCCGUCUCGGUUGGCUGCUCCGGAAAAGUGGGACCGUCCUUCCCCACAUUUCUACGAUGGGUCAAGGAGGCCCCAAAUCUCGUGUUCAAGCCUCAAAGUCAUCUAAACGGAACUGCUAUACAUAGGUAUACAGUAGUAAACGAAGGCAAGGAAUGAAGAUAUCAGUUUUAUCCACUGAUAUACAACGUAUAUACAGAAAAACGCUGCAAAUGAAGGCUGGUAUACAUGAAGAUACAACUGAUAUACAGCUGGUAUACAUCUGCAAAGUGGCUAAAAAGGUCUAUUAAAAUAGGCCCAAAAAUGUUAACAACGAAUACAACGCCAAUCAAUCUCCAUUUCUGAUCUAAUCUUAAAACUUCAUUAAGCUUGAAAGAGUAAAGGAAGAGUAAAGGUAGAGAGAGAAAAAAUGUUUCUUAUUAUGAAAAAAUGAUAACCGUUUCUAAACUGUCCAGUACUAUAUGCUAGAUAUUUCCUU